AACACUGUUUGAAUCAGAACACUCACAGCCCAAGACCAUGACAGGCUGAGACAGCACAGACAAGGGCACUGUGGCAUUAGGAAGAACUGUGAUGGGUCAUAAUCCAGUCUGGAUAUUGUAAAUGAUUUUGCAUACAGGAACCCAGUUCCAGCCUACCCCAGUCUCUCUUUCCUCUGUGUGGCAAACUGGGCAGCCUCCAUCUUUCUCUUCUUAUCCCAGGAGAAGAAAACAGGAUUUUUCUACACAGCCUGUUUUGCUUACCAUUUGUGAUUCUGGCUUACUACUGUGGACUGGAGGCUAUGAUCUGUGUUCAAGAAGAGAGCUGGCCUAAAGCAACUGC